CUAAUAACCAAGACAUAUAUAUUGCUAUACCAUAGACGACUAAGACUACGCUAGUUGAUCCAUGUAGAGAAUCUUAUGUUCCAAGUCUAUCUCGUACUUUAGACGUUAAGCGUCAAUGACUGAUACAUAUUGACCUUUGAAAGUGAUUUCCAUAUUCUUGAAUUCUAUUUUGGGCUCAAUUAAUGAAUCGGAAAAAUAAGAAAUAAAUUUUGGCCCGGAAGUUUCGAGGCAUUUCCAAAUAAAAUCCAAAAUUAAAUUUUACAUCCAGUAAACCCAUCACUUUGGAUUUAAUAGCAAUUUAACCCAAAUUUUGACUGAAAAUUAGAUAAAAAAAAAAA
rnacentral:misc_RNA from 1 species